UAACAGUGUCUCCUUAGGGUACCACAUAUC
rnacentral:piRNA from 1 species